rnacentral:rRNA from 1 species
ACGAUUGGUAGCCGGACUGAGAGGUUGAACGGCCACAUUGGGACUGAGACACGGCCCAGACUCCUACGGGAGGCAGCAGUGGGGGAUAUUGCACAAUGGGGGAAACCCUGAUGCAGCGACGCCGCGUGGAGGAAGAAGGUUUUCGGAUUGUAAACUCUUGUCGUUAGGGACGAUAAUGGCGGUACCUAACAAGAAAGCACCGGCUAACUACGUGCCAGCAGCCGCGGUAAU